CCUUGACAACCUUGAUGAACAGACAACCAAUGUGCUUGCACAAAGGAAGGCCACAGCUCUCCGAGGUCUACCUCUCUAUUUGAGGGAGAAUCCAGGCAACGUCCUGAAGACAUGUCUGACUCGGAGGAAACGUCCGUUGCAGGUGUUCAACUUGGCAUAGUCACCAUUGUUGAAGAUGAUGUUGGGAGAGCUCACUCAAUGCCCAGAACAAUC